UACUAUAAAAAUUUUUUUAAUUCUUAGAGGGAGUAAUCAAAAGUUGAAAUUUAAAAAACUUGGCAGUAUUUUACUUCUAUUAGAGGAACUUGUUUAUUAAAUGAUAAUCCACGAUAAAUUUGACUUAAAUUCAUUAGUUUGUAUACCGUUGUCAUAAAUAUAUCUCUAAAAAGCUUAAAUAUAUAAAAGGGCGAGAAGACCCUAUAUGUCAAAUAAAGGUGCAGCUUAUAUUUAAGCUUAUUAUGAGUUACAAUUAAUUUAUUAAUACAGAAUUCUUGAAAAGUUUUGUGACGGCGGAUUUAACAGUAAAUUUUAAUAUAUAUUAAAACUGAAUAAAAAUUAAAAUGUGUACAUAUCGCCCGUCGCUAUUAAUUUAAUAA
rnacentral:rRNA from 1 species